CCACCUGCCUCAGCCUCCCAAAGUGCUGGGAUUACAGGCAUGAGCCACCGUACCCGGUGUGUGAGUAUUCUUAAUUAUGAUAAUAGUUAUUUGCAUAAGUACAAUAAGAAUCUGUUUUCAUUUGUAACAGGACACAAUUGGAGAAACUGGUUAUUUUACCAAGGCUUUGACUGGAAUGGUGUGCUUUCCUUUAAGGAAUCAAACUUGACUUAUGGAGCCAAUAUAAGCCCCUUGGAAAAACUGGCUUCAUACCUUUGUCUGCACAGUCCCUGUAUAGGGUUCCUGACCUGUGGACAUGCCUUUUGCCUUCUGCCAUGAUUGUGAGGCUUCCCCAGCCACGUGAAACUGAUAUGAGACUUCACAACCUGCUGAAAAUGAGCUUUCCUCAUAACUCAGGACCUACGCGUCUAGGAAUAAACCAUCCUAAACAUGAAAGAUCAGACAAAAUGUGAGACCAGAGACUCAUUUACAGGAUUUCAAUACUUUGUUACCGGAUAUGGACUGGUAUAUGAAAUGAAAUAAAUGGCCAGAUAGGUGCUAAGAAUUUAAAUAGUUCACUUGUUAUACCAAGAUUGUUUCAUGAGAUACAAGCAAUUCAAACCUGAAUCCUGCAUCUCUCUUCCAAGUUAUCAGUCCAGAGAAUGAACUCUUGUGAACAAAGGAAAGGGAGAAAUGAAGCUUGGGAUUGGGAGUAGAUGUGUUAGAGGCUAAGAGGUGGAAAUGCUGGCCUUCUAUCCACUACGGGGACCUACCACCCAAAGAGCACACCAUCGCAAGGGCCUCGUAUUCUCACCCACAUUCACAAAUAGAGACAUGCAGACUUUAUUGGAAAAAAAUUAACUGGCUUCUACACAACGCUUUAAACUGAGGUGAAUGGGACUGUCUUCACCUGGUAAUCAGGGUAACUGGAUUUCAGCCCAGAAUCUUCCACCAACCAGCUGUGUGACCUCAGGCAAGUCACCUCUCUUUUCUGGCCUCAUCUUUGCCUUCUGUAAAGUGAGACCCUUGGUCUAGGAUGGGUGAUCUCUAAGUUUCUUUCUCAAUUUCCCAUUUUGUAAUUCUCAUUCUUUAAUAAAAAUAGGCCCUGUAUCUGUUGUAGGAAAAACUGAGAUUAUUAUCUGGGGGAAAUUGAUAACCUAGAUUUUUUUUCCUAGCAAACUGUAGGGUCUAGUAUAUUUUCUGAGCCACAUCAGGAACUGUGUCCUGAGCUCAAGGAAUGGUAUAGUACAGGCCUCUUGGACCUUCACAUAUCCGAACUUCAGAGAAAGCUCCCGUUAAAAGCAAUUAAUACAGCAUACCAAAGGGAGAGAAGAGAGGUGACAACUGUAGUGGUUUUUGCCCCGCCUUGAUGAGAUGGGAAGGGGAAUCUAGCAGGUGGGGCAGACAACGCUGCCCUUGGGGCAGUUUGUGCUUCACAGUGUUGUGAAGUCCAACUAAGAGGGUUUUGUCAAGAUUCUUUUUUCUGUGUGUUUAAACAGUUAUACAACAAUUGAAUUAGUCUGCUCGCCUAGACUCCCUGCCAUGAAAAUCAUCAAACAAGCCUGGAAGAAUCCUACUGCGGGGCCUUUGCCAGCAGAGUGCUAGGAUUUCUGGAAGCUGGGCAUCUUCUCACACACAGUGGCCAGCGUUGGCUUUGGAGUUUCUUACCUUGUUUUCCCAGCACCUGAGGAGAACUUUGGCCCCAAAGAGACUGCCCAGGUCUGGGGCAAUGCUAUUUGACAUUGUAUCCUCGGUCAUGGGAGUAAAUAUGCCCCCUUCAGGUGUGGCACAGA